AGAGUUUGAUCAUGGCUCAGGAUGAACGCUAGCUACAGGCUUAACACAUGCAAGUCGAGGGGAAACGACAUCGAAAGCUUGUCUUUGAUGGGCGUCGACCGGCGUACGGGUGAGUAACGCGUAUCCAACCUGCCCACCACUUGGGGAUAACCUUGCCCCCGAAAGUAAGACUAAUACCCAAUGAUAUCUCUAGAAGACAUCUGAAAGAGAUUAAAGAUUUAUCGGUGAUGGAUGGGGAUGCGUCUGAUUAGCUUGUUGGCGGGGUAACGGCCCACCAAGGCAACGAUCAGUAGGGGUUCUGAGAGGAAGGUCCCCCACAUUGGAACUGAGACACGGUCCAAACUCCUACGGGAGGCAGCA
rnacentral:rRNA from 1 species